rnacentral:rRNA from 1 species
UGAGUAAUGUCUGGGAAACUGCCCGAUGGAGGGGGAUAACUACUGGAAACGGUAGCUAAUACCGCAUAACGUCUUCGGACCAAAGUGGGGGACCUUCGGGCCUCACACCAUCGGAUGUGCCCAGAUGGGAUUAGCUAGUAGGUGGGGUAAUGGCUCACCUAGGCGACGAUCCCUAGCUGGUCUGAGAGGAUGACCAGCCACACUGGAACUGAGACACGGUCCAGACUCCUACGGGAGGCAGCAGUGGGGAAUAUUGCACAAUGGGCGCAAGCCUGAUGCAGCCAUGCCGCGUGUAUGAAGAAGGCCUUCGGGUUGUAAAGUACUUUCAGUGGGGAGGAAGGCGUUAAGGUUAAUAACCUUGGCGAUUGACGUUACCCGCAGAAGAAGCACCGGCUAACUCCGUGCCAGCAGCCGCGGUAAUACGGAGGGUGCAAGCGUUAAUCGGAAUUACUGGGCGUAAAGCGCACGCAGGCGGUCUGUCAAGUCGGAUGUGAAAUCCCCGGG